UACGUAUGGAGCAAGCGUUAUCCGGAUUUACUGGGCGUAAAGGGAGCGUAGGCGGCCUGCCAAGUCUGAUGUGAAAUACCGGGGCUCAACCCCGGGGCUGCAUUGGAAACUGGCAGGCUGGAGUGCCGGAGAGGCAGGCGGAAUUCCUAGUGUAGCGGUGAAAUGCGUAGAUAUUAGGAGGAACACCAGUGGCGAAGGCGACCUGCUAGAACAUAACUGACGCUGAUGCGCGAAAGCGUGGGGAGCAAACAGG
rnacentral:rRNA from 1 species